UCAUUAGCAAUAGCAAGUAGCAAGUCAUGUUUUCAUGGCUAUAAUGUUUCAACCAUGCUUCUAGUUUGGGAAAUACAUCAACAUAGAAAAGAAAACUGGUCUUCAAACCACCAAUCCCUCAUGUGGUCAUGAGUUGUUUGCAAAAUAAUCAUAAAAAGUUUGACAAACGCUGGACACUAUUUGCUUUCGUCAAAUGGAAAGUAGCACAAUGAACAUUCUUCAGAAUUUCUCCUGUCGUGUUUUGUGGAAGAAAGUCACACAGGUGUGAAACAACAUGAGG